CAUAGUUCAGUUGGUUAGAGCGUCAGAUUGUGGUUCUGAAUGUCGUGGGUUCGAAUCCCACUG
rnacentral:tRNA from 2 species